UAUCGUUUCAUUUACUUUCUCUCUCUCAUUGUUUCAGGCAGUUGCCAUGACGAAUUGUUUGGGCUGUUCCUGAAGAGAUCAGAACUCGAAACAGCUAUCAAAUUGAGCGGCGAUGUGUUCUGGUUUGUUUGAUCAGAACUAUAUAAUAUACUGAUAUUUAUAUAUAUAUAUACUGUCGCCAAUUGCAUUUUAAUCUUUGUUUCCGGGGACAGAGGGAGAGAGAGAGAGAGAGAGAGAGGAAUGGGGAAGAUGGAAUGGGGGAGUAGUGUGAGAGAGCUGAGGCCUCUGGUUCACCUGCUCUUGCCGCUGUGCGUCCACUGGAUCGCCGAGGAGAUGACCGUUUCGGUGCUCGUCGAUGUCACCACCGGAGCUCUCUGUCCCGGCCAGUCCACCUGCUCUGAAGUCAUUUACAUCAACGGCCUUCAGCAAACGGUUGUAGGUAUUUUCAAGAUGGUGGUGCUUCCAGUCCUGGGCCAACUUGCAGAUGAGUAUGGGCGUAAACCGCUGCUCAUUGUUACUGUAUCUACAACUAUUGUCCCUUUCGCAUUGCUUGCUAUCAGUGAGACAAAGGCCUCUGUUUAUGCAUAUUACGUGCUUCGCGCAAUUUCAUACAUAUUAAGUCAAGGGAGUAUUUUCUGCAUUUCUGUUGCUUAUGUGGCAGAUGUUGUCAAUGAAACCAAGAGAGCUGCAAUGUUCAGUUGGAUUACUGGUCUCUUUUCUGCAUCACAUGUAAUAGGAAAUAUCUUAGCACGUUUUCUUCCUGAAAGUUACAUUUUUGAGGUUUCAAUAGCUCUGUUGGUCUGUGCUCCACUUUACAUGUAUGUUUUUCUGGUUGAGACAGUUAAACCAACUCCAAGAAAUGACCAGAAUUCACCUGGCUUCCACAAGAUAUUGAAAAUCAUUGAGGAACGAUAUAAUUCAAUGAGAUAUGCUGCAACUAUUGUUGUAAGCAGUCCAACACUUAAAGGCAUGUCAUUUGUCUCCUUCUUUUAUGAGUUGGGAAUGUCUGGCAUCAGCGAUGUCUUAUUUUACUAUCUGAAGUCAGCCUUUGGUUUCAACAAAAAUCAAUUUUCAGAACUUCUGAUGAUGGUGGGAAUAGGCUCAAUUUUUUCUCAGAUUGUCGUGCUACCUCUCAUCAAUCCAUUGGUUGGGGAGAAAGUGAUACUGUCCGCUGCUUUGCUUGCGUCAAUAGCUUAUGCAUUGCUUGAUGGCUUGGCAUGGGCUUCUUGGGUUCCAUAUCUGAGUGCUUCAUUUGGAGUUGUCUACAUCCUCGUGAAACCUUCUACUUAUGCUAUCAUAUCAAAAGCAUCAAGCUCAGCUGAUCAGGGAAAAGCACAAGGAUUUAUUGCUGGCGUGCAAUCAAUUGCUGAUCUGCUAUCACCACUUGCAAUGAGUCCAUUGACUUCUUGGUUUUUGUCCAGCAAUGCACCUUUUCACUGUAAAGGUUUCAGCAUUGUCUGUGCAUCCUUAGGCAUGGUAAUAUCGCUAUGUUUUGCUUGUAUGCUAAAGCCGGAAGCUGUGCCAAACAGUGAAUCUAUUGGCAAUACAGAAAAUAUUGAAGAACCACUACUUACAUGAAAAGGUUCAUGCCACCGGAGAAGAUUGUUUGGUGUAACCAUUUACAGCAUUGGAAGAAGACUCAAGAACAGGUGGUUUGUUACUGCAGCUUUGGCUAUGGCGAACCUCCCUCUCUUCUUCUAUGGUUUCCAACCUCUUCUCAGAGCUGAUCAGCCUCCUUUCCACCCGAAUGAUCCGGGGUGGUGCUGCUUCUGCAGUAUGCCACAUGGCACCGCUUGGAUAUUGAUGAAAUUGUCCAAUAUGAAGGGCAUCUAGUCCAAAAGUUCGUCAGGUGACAUGGGUCCUAAAGAUGAAACGCAUCUGGUCCAAAAGUUUGUAAGCAUAGAACCUACUAUUAUGGUUAUGGGGCCCAAAGAUUAGGUCUUACAUAAUCAGCAGGAAUAAGAUCUUCUGAAAUUUGUUUAUUUGUUCUCGCCUCUCUGCGUCAAGAUUUUUAAUGUUGGCAUGUUGGCAAACAGUACUUGAAGUUUGGGACUUCUUAAAUUACGUACUUGUGAAAGGGAAUACGUAAAAUAGAAGUUUGCGAUUGAAAGAUACAGCUUGAGAUUUGAAAAUAUCACCUUGCGAAAAGAGGGUUUGAAAAUAUCACC